AGACACCUAAAGGCCUCCGCUAUGUGGGCGGUGACCCGCCCGUGACGUAAGCUCCAGACGCCUGAGAAGUGGAAGGACCCGGCGUCCAGGACAGGAAAGUGCGUGAUUUACAGCUAGAGGGAUAGGCGCUGUCCCGGAGCCCGUCCUGGGCCAGGGAGCAGGAGAGGGAGGGACUACAGUUCCCGACGCGCUGCGGGGCGGGCGGAGAUCGUGCGCUUCGGCGCCAGUUGCACGGCCUUAGCAGCCAGUGGCGGCUCCCCUGCUCCUGUAACAGUCCCCUUGUCUUCUGACCUUUCGCUCCUCGGUCAUGUGUCCUCGCCGGUCGCCGCGGCAGCCAGUGAUGCCCGAGCGGCGGGUUCCCAGGCCCAGGUGUGGGCGCCACCGCCCACCAUGCGCCAAGCCCAGAGCCUGGUUGAAUCGUUCGCCACCUUGUCUACCCAUUUUGGCCAUUAUCCUGCCACCUCCAAAUCCUGUUUUUGACACUUCUCGGGAGAGAGAGAAAACGGAAAGAUAAAGGAAUAAACUCCUCGUGGUCGUAGUUAGUGGGUAAAUUCAGAUCUCGUUUGAACCGAGGUUUUUCUUAUCUCCAGCCACCGUAUCCACCACCACCAGAAUCGUCUUUUUAGUCAUCACAGCUGGUCGCCGUCAGUACCUUGUUCAGAAGCCUCUCGCAGCUUCCAUCGUGUGGUUAUACAAUCCAAAUUCCUUAUAAAGUCCAAAUUCAAGAGGAGGAAUGCACGUUUAGUUAAGUUAAUGUCUAGACCUUACCAGCCAAUUUCUAGCUCCUCAGUAUGGAAAUUGCAACUGAAAACACCCCUUCCAAAAAAAGCAGUCUGCAUUUUUCUCUGAGUUUUCUUCUCCAAAUUUCGCACCCCUGACCUUGCUUACACACUCUGGAUACCACCUGCUGUGGAGUGGCGGAAGCAGACAUCCAGCGAUAGCUAAGUUUCCUGUCGUUGACACCCAAGCAAGACAGGCGUGUACCUAACUGAGGACCUGCCGGUGAUAGAAGUCUCAGCUUUUCUCAGAGACAGAUGAGUCUUCCCUUUAAAUGCUGCAAAGUGCUGCAUAGUAGAUGUUAAAUGAAAGUCAGAAAGAAUCAAAUGUGCUGCAAAUAAUUGAAGGCAAAGUCCCAAACCAGAAUGCAGUCCCCUGGCCAGUGACCCUAGAGAUGACGCUGGCUCCGGCGGUGGCUCCAGGUUCCUGAGAACACGGUUGCUGAUGUUACCACCUGGGACCUGGCGCAAAGGUACUUACUUCCCUAACUCUUGUCCCCAGGACCAGCCCUUGUCACUGCUGGUUGGGGUAACCCCUCAUUUCCUCUUGCCUCUGCAUUUGAAAGCACCGCCCCUCCACCCAGACCAUUUGAGGUGGUCUCUCUGUCUACAACUGUGAGUGGCUGGCCAAAAUUAAUCUAGGUAUGGAUAGAAGGAGAAGUGUCUGGAAGUCUAGAGUAUUUUUGAGUGUGUCAAUGAUGGUUGCAUGGCCACAAGGAAACUGGUGCAUAUCUGGGGAUACCAGGCUUGUUCUCUGAGCCUAGCGUGAAAGAAGUAGUGCCCUUCAGGGAAUGCCCUUGACAAGCCACCCUUUCUGGUGGUCCGACGGGGAGAAGCUUGACAAGCCAAUCUUUACAGUGGCACCAUCACCCACAUUCCCAGGCCCCUGAUGCAUGAGGGUGGGCACUGCCAGCUGCUGGGGCUUAUUUUGCUAAGGUGUUGGCAUCCUAUUGAGGCUCCCCCAAUACUUGGAGUAUCAACAGCACAGGGAGAGAGAGGGAAGGAAGGGAGUGAGCUCAGUUAGAUUAUCUUUCAUGAGCUGGCAUAAUGCACAUGCCACAGAACAUGAGCAGGACCCAUCUGAGAUCAACCACUGAAAAUAAAUCAGUGGUUAGGCAGCUAAAGAUACAGAGACACUGGAAUCUGUGAUUGAGUCAUCUGAAAAAUAAAACUACCCACUGUCUAGACUAAAUCAUGUAAAUUGUGCUCAAACGAGGCUAGGGUUGGAAUAUGUUGGAAAUGUAAGCAAUUAAAGGAGCACCUGCAAGAAGAUUGGGUCAGAUAACAUUUUGGAAGUCCUGGUGCAUGGUGGGUGAAAAAAACAACAAAACUGUUGCUUUAAAAUGCAAGGAUCACACUGUGAAAAACUGGGGACAUGCAUGACUCCCUUUGCUGCCCCAAACCUACAAGAGAGUAUGUCAGAGACCAUUCCAGCAAGUGAAGGCAUCAGGCCUGGGGCUGGUUCUCCACAGCCCAAACCAGCCUGCAAGUGAACAACCAGGGACUGAACCUUUCUGGGACCUCCUGCAAUCAGAGCUUUACGAAGUGACUUAAAUCGCUGGGGAUGGGAUUCAGUGAUGGAGCAAGUCAAACAUCUUUAUCUGCCCACUGAGAGGAGAAAAGUUGGAGACACAAAUGGCCCUGAAAGUCACAAGCUGAAACUGUUUGUCUGUUUUUUUCCCCUCUGGAUGAGGAAUGGCUGAGCCCCUGAGCAUGUGUCUGGAACUUAUCUGGGAGGCUUACUCCCUUUGCUUCAAACCCAAUUUUAGAAAAAGUUGCCAACAAUAUAUGACUACGGAAAGUAGAAAAAAUAAUGUGGGGAGAUUCACGUUUGAUUUCAGAAUUAUCAGGGUCACAAGGAUAGAGCCAGAUGUUGCCCAUCACUUAUUACAUCUUUCGGAACAUUCUGCAGAACCACAUUUCUGCCUUUUUUCUCUGCUGUCUGCAUUCCAGACACCCUCUUAGCUCACACAGUGCGCCGAGAACCUUGGGGCUGUGGUCACCCUGCUGAGACAGCAGCUCACAGGAACCCUUUGGCCACAUCCGCAUCCAUCAGUGUCCACAACAUCUUUCGUUUCUUGAGUUAGAUUUAUUUUAUGAUAAGCGGCUCAGGCAGAAUUCCAUUCUUGCUUAAGAUAUGCCUCAAUUAGAAAUCAAGAGAUCUAGCCAUUGGUUUUUUUUUUUGUAUCAUUUAAACAGUUCCAAAAUAAUUAAUAUGUGGUUUGAUUCAUUUUUGUCACUGAUUCACUUAUUCAGCAGAUUUUAAUCACUGAUAUGGUUUGGCUGUGUCCCCACCCAAAUCACAUCUUGAACUGUAGUUCCCAUAAUCCCUAAGUGUCAUAAUCCCAUAAUCCCCGCAUGACCAGGAGGGCAGUAACUGAAUCACGGGGGCAAUUACCCCCAUGCUGUUCUUGUGAUAGUGAGAGAAUUCUCAUGAGAUCUGAUGGUUUUGCAAGGGGCUUUUCCCCCUUUCCUCAGCACUUCUCCUUGCUGCCGUCAUGUGAAGAAGGACGUGUUUGCUUCCCAUUCCACCAUGAUUGUAAGUUUCCUGAGGCCUCUCCAGUCCUGCGGAACUGUGAGUCAAUUAAACCUCUUUCUUUUAUAAAUUGACCAUCUCAGAUGUCUUCAUUAGCAGCGUGAGAAUGGGCUAAUACAAUCGCCCACCUCCCCAGUACCAGGCACUGUUCUAGGCACUUGACAUAAGUAAUGAACACAGUCGACUUGGCCCUGAGCCUUAGGACAGUUGCAAAACCUUGCUACUCACAGUGAGGUUCUUGGCCCAGCCACAGGGGCCUGUGGGGAAGCUUGUUAUCAGGGCCAACUCUCAGCAUCCCUGCUUCCAAGAUGCACAGUGUCAGAAUCGGUGCCGUUCCCAGAUGAUUCCUAUGCACAGGUGUGAGAAGCACUAGUCCAGAGAGUUUUACAAUUCCCCGUGAAAAAAAUCCAUGGGGAGAAAAGCUUCCACAUUUCUCAAAAUUUUCAUUUCUUUAUGUAAGAUGAAAGAAAGAUGUUCAGCUGCACAUUUUGAAAAUAUUUUGAAUGGAUAAAGAUGGUGAUAUACUAGGAGAUGAAAAAGAAGAAACCUGAAAAUGUUUAUUCACUUUUCAUUCCAG
rnacentral:lncRNA from 10 species